rnacentral:rRNA from 1 species
CACGUAGGGCGCAAGCGUUGUCCGGAAUUAUUGGGCGUAAAGAGCUCGUAGGCGGUCUGUUGCGUCCGCUGUGAAAACUCGGGGCUUAACCCCGAGCCUGCAGUGGAUACGGGCAGACUAGAGGUAGGUAGGGGAGAAUGGAAUUCCCGGUGUAGCGGUGAAAUGCGCAGAUAUCGGGAGGAACACCGGUGGCGAAGGCGGUUCUAGCUGGGCCGAUACUGACGCUGAGGAGCGAAAGCGUGGGGAGCGAACAGG